CGUUACAUGGGUGGAGGGGCUUCACCUCCAGGGAUUUUGCUUUCCUGGUAUGAGACUGUUUCAUCUUCUGUGACUCCUAGAGAGAGAGCUAACAGUUUAACUGUAUCUGGAGAAACCGCGGGUUUUCUCGCACUUGCAGCGGGCGCUCGCGAAGCAUGCCAGCGCGGGACCCACGCCGACGCCGCGCUUCUCAGGCACCUUCUCCACUCGAAGGCUGCGGGCAGCCAGAGCCGGCGUCCUCUUCCCGGCCAGGCGGCGGAUGAUGCUGUGCCUUGUUUUGAUGGCAGUGGAGUUAGUGAUUGUAACCACCACAGUACAAUCAGCUAAUGACACUGCCUACAAACCGAGCACUGGGCGUCCGCGGCUGCAGCUCCCGGACGGUCCGCAGCGCCGACGCGGGGUCGCAGGGUCGCGGGGUCGGGGCCUGCCUAGGACCCCAUUUCACCAGGGGACGCCCGACCAUGGCUGGGCGCGAGCGGCCUCCGAGGACACCCCGGGCCCGGCGGGAUCCCCGCCGGCCUCGCCGCGCACAGUACGGGUAGUUGGGCCAGCGGGCGGCGCUGCCGGGGAGGACCCGCGCCCUCCCGGGCCGCGCCCCGACCCCGGUGACCCUCGGGAGUGCCGGGCCUCCCCUUCCCGCAGCCUCUCGCUCCUCUCAGGACCCUCCCGCUCAGGAGGGACAAAGAGCUCCACUCCCUCAUUCCCCAAGAAGCCCCCAAGCCUACCCAGUUUCCGUGCCCAUUCUGCCCUGGGAAAGCGGCUUCCCAGUUGAAGUCACGAGGAGUUCUCCAAGAAAGGUCUGCUGGCUGAUUCUUCGUUGACCUACCAGUCCCUGCUGUCAAGGACGCCAGAACCUCCUUAUCUAUUUUUCUUGAAUCAUGAGAGAUGAAAUUGCAACAACAGUUUUCUUUGUCACAAGAUUGGUGAAAAAACAUGAUAAACUAAGUAAACAGCAAAUAGAAGACUUUGCAGAGAAGCUGAUGACGAUCUUGUUUGAAACAUACAGAAGUCACUGGCACUCUGAUUGCCCUUCUAAAGGGCAAGCCUUCAGGUGCAUCAGGAUAAACAACAAUCAGAAUAAAGAUCCCAUUCUAGAAAGGGCAUGUGUGGAGAGUAAUGUGGAUUUUUCUCACCUGGGACUUCCAAAGGAGAUGACCAUAUGGGUAGAUCCCUUUGAAGUGUGCUGUAGGUAUGGUGAGAAAAACCAUCCAUUUACAGUUGCUUCUUUUAAAGGCAGAUGGGAGGAAUGGGAACUAUAUCAGCAAAUCAGUUAUGCAGUUAGUAGAGCCUCAUCAGACGAUUCCUCUGGCCCUUCCUGCAAUGAAGAAAGUUGUAGCAAGGAACCUCGUGUCAUUCCUAA